GGGCUUGACAUCCCACGAACCUGUGGAAACACGGGAGUGCCUUCGGGAGCGGAGAGACAGGUGGUGCAUGGUUGUCGUCAGCUCGUGUCGUGAGAUGUUGGGUUAAGUCCCGCAACGAGCGCAACCCUUAUGAUCAGUUAUCAGCGGGUGAAGCCGGGGACUCUGGUCAGACUGCCGGUGACAAACCGGAGGAAGGUGGGGACGAUGUCAAAUCAUCAUGCUCCUUAUGUCCUGGGCUACACACGUGCUACAAUGGUCGUUACAGCGGGAAGCGAAGCCGCAAGGCGGAGCGAAGCCGAAAAAAGCGAUCCCAGUUCGGAUUGAGGGCUGCAACCCGCCCUCAUGAAGUUGGAAUCGCUAGUAAUCGCGGAUCAGCACGCCGCGGUGAAUACGUUCCCGGGCCUUGUACACACCGCCCGUCACACCACGAAAGUUGCCUGUACUCGAAGUCGCUUAG
rnacentral:rRNA from 1 species